GGCGAAAUGGCCGAGUGGUCGAUGGCGGACGAUUUAAGUACACCUUUCAGGUUCUUUACUAAUCUCGUCUUCCCGAGAGGGAGCGUGGGUUCGAACCCCACUUUCGUCA